CCUACGGGAGGCAGCAGUGGGGAAUCUUGCGCAAUGGGCGAAAGCCUGACGCAGCAACGCCGCGUGCGGGAAGAAGGCUUUCGGGCUGUAAACCGCUUUCAGCAGGAACGAAAAUGACGGUACCUGCAGAAGAAGGAGCGGCCAACUAUGUGCCAGCAGCCGCGGUGAUACAUAGGCUUCAAGCGUUGUCCGGAUUUAUUGGGCGUAAAGAGUUCGUAGGCGGUCGAGUAAGUCGGGUGUGAAAAUUCUGGGCUCAACCCAGAGACGCCACCCGAUACUGCUUGACUUGAGUUCGAUAGGGGAGUGGGGAAUUCCUAGUGUAGCGGUGAAAUGCGCAGAUAUUAGGAGGAACACCGGUGGCGAAGGCGCCACUCUGGAUCGAUACUGACGCUGAGGAACGAAAGCAUGGGUAGCAAACAGGAUUAGAUACCCUGGUAGUCCAUGCCGUAAACGGUGGGCACUAGGUGUGGGUUUCUAUUAACGAAAUCCGCGCCGUCGCUAACGCAUUAAGUGCCCCGCUGGGGAGUACGGUCGCAAGCUAAAACUUANAAGGAAUUGACGG
rnacentral:rRNA from 1 species